CUCUUCCUGCUGCCCCAGAGGUCUCUGGGAUUCAAAAUCAGAGCAGCAGGACUCUGCAGGGUUGCUCAUCACUUCCUCUUCCUGCUUCCAGGUACCUCUGGGAUUUGUGGUCCACGGUCACAGCCAGCAGUGCAGCAGCCGGUCAAGCAGGGGUUAAGGAUUGAGCCCUGCCAGCUGGUCGGGUGACAAGAAGGGGAAGGCCAGAACCAUAUAAGCCACAAGUGGAGAAGGCCAGGGAGGCAGCAGAGAAGGAGACUCCCGAUGACUAUGGAGAAUCUGCGGCAGCCUCCUUGGGAAGAAUACACCAUGCUGUGAGACAGAAUCACAAUCACAUGUGUUGCCCUCAGUGUGGAGUGUGAGAUGAAGCAGGCCAAGCAUCUCAUUUGUUUAAAAAAAAUGGUUGGAAAAAUCAGCUAGCUAGCAGCAGAUAUGCAAGAUGAAGUCCUAGCUACAGAACAAUUCAGAUAAAACAUGGAGGUUUGUGAUCAAGAGCUCGACAUUGUGCCUGUGUUUCCAAGUAAUCAAAUCUAUUUCUUUCAUAUUUCUUUGAAACUCUCCAAAGAGCUGCUGCAAUGGUGAAGACAUAAAUAAAGCUAACUGUAGGUACUGGGUCUGAAAAAUAAGUAAAUUAAUAUUAUAAAUAAUUGUUUGUUUAUAUCUGGAACCCUUGGUGGAGAUUUGACUAACAUUUGUGUACUUACCUUACCUAACCUAUCUGUACCUGGCAGUAUAUGACACAGCUAAUAUUGUAUGUGCGUGUGUACAAAAGAAAAGCCUAUGAUUUGCAAAUAAAUGCGUACAAUUUUCCA